rnacentral:rRNA from 1 species
UACGGAGGGAGCUAGCGUUAUUCGGAAUUACUGGGCGUAAAGCGCACGUAGGCGGCUUUGUAAGUUAGAGGUGAAAGCCUGGAGCUCAACUCCAGAAUUGCCUUUAAGACUGCAUCGCUUGAAUCCAGGAGAGGUGAGUGGAAUUCCGAGUGUAGAGGUGAAAUUCGUAGAUAUUCGGAAGAACACCAGUGGCGAAGGCGGCUCACUGGACUGGUAUUGACGCUGAGGUGCGAAAGCGUGGGGGAGCAAACAGG